CCAGACUCCUACGGGAGGCAGCAGUGAGGAAUAUUGGUCAAUGGGCGAGAGCCUGAACCAGCCAAGUCGCGUGAGGGAGUACUGCCCUAUGGGUUGUAAACCUCUUUUGUCGGGGAGCAAAGCCGGACGUGUCCGGCUGUGAGAGUACCCGAAGAAAAAGCAUCGGCUAACUCCGUGCCAGCAGCCGCGGUAAUACGGAGGAUGCGAGCGUUAUCCGGAUUUAUUGGGUUUAAAGGGUGCGCAGGCGGAUUUUUAAGUCAGCGGUCAAAUCGUGGGGCUCAACCCCAUCCAGCCGUCGGAACUGCCGGGCUAGAGUGGGCGAGAAGUGCGCGGAAUGCGUGGUGUAGCGGUGAAAUGCAUAGAUAUCACGCAGAACUCCGAUUGCGAAGGCAGCGCACCGGCGCCCUACUGACGCUCAGGCACGAAAGCGUGGGUAUCGAACAGGAUUAGAUACCCUGGUACGC
rnacentral:rRNA from 1 species